GACGGGGCCCGCACAAGCGGUGGAGUAUGUGGUUAAUUCGAUGCAACGCGAAGAACCUUACCUGGUCUUGACAUCCCGGAGACCCUUAGGAAACUAGGGGGUGCUUCCAUCUGGAAGAAUCUGGAGACAGGUGCUGCAUGGCUGUCGUCAGCUCGUGUCGUGAGAUGUUGGGUUAAGUCCCGCAACGAGCGCAACCCUUGCCUUUAGUUGCCAGCAGUUCGGCUGGGCACUCUAAAGGGACUGCCGGUGUUAAACCGGAGGAAGGUGGGGAUGACGUCAAGUCCUCAUGGCCUUUAUGACCAGGGCUACACACGUACUACAAUGGCCGAUACAAAGGGCAGCGACACUGCGAGGUGAAGCCAAUCCCGUAAAAUCGGUCUCAGUCCGGAUUGGAGUCUGCAACUCGACUCCAUGAAGUUGGAAUCGCUAGUAAUCGUGAAUCAGAAUGUCACGGUGAAUACGUUCCCGGGCCUU
rnacentral:rRNA from 1 species